GUCACUUUGCCGGAGUGGUUAACGGGAUCGCCUGCUAUUCGUAGCUGCCAGCGGUUGUGCUUUGCACGCGAGUGUUCGAAUCGCUCAGGUGACG
rfam:Phlebiopsis gigantea 11061_1 CR5-6 unplaced genomic scaffold PHLGIscaffold_88, whole genome shotgun sequence.